rnacentral:rRNA from 1 species
GACGAGCCACACGAACGUUAUUCGGAAUUACUGGGCUUAAAGGGUGCGUAGGCGGUGCGGAAAGUUGGGUGUGAAAUCCCUCGGCUCAACCGAGGAACUGCGCCCAAAACUACCGCACUCGAGGAAGAUAGAGGUGAGCGGAACUUACGGUGGAGCGGUGAAAUGCGUUGAUAUCGUAAGGAACACCCGUGGCGAAAGCGGCUCACUGGGUCUUUUCUGACGCUGAUGCACGAAAGCUAGGGGAGCAAACGGG